rnacentral:antisense_RNA from 1 species
AAUAUGUAGUCAAAAAGAAGUAUGCUAAUGAAAUUUCUUCAAAUAGUAUAAAUAAUUAGUGAAGACUGCUACUAUAGGCUGCUGCUGUAUUUUUAAGAGGCUCAACUUCAAAUACCUCAACCUUUUAUGGAAAGAUGGAAACACACAACAAACUAUGUAGAUCUUGAUACAAGUCUCCAUCAAGUCGAUUCAUUUUCAAAAGUAAAUUACAUCCUAAUCUCAAACCUGUGGCAAGACAAGUCAUCAAAGAAUGUCCUGUGACAGCCGAGGAGGCGGCCCCGCGGGAACCAGGUCCUGCGAGGAGGGCGGUUGGCCGCUCCCUCCCGACUCGCCGGCGGCCCAGGGUGCGGCGCUGCCAGCAGGUUGAUCGGGCGGAGCUUUGGGAGCGGCUCGACUGACCGCCCGGGGGGCUGAGGCUUCAAGGCGAGAUCCCCGCCGGCCAAUUAAGAAUAAACAAACUC